GGCUUGUUGGUGUAGUUGGUUAGUAGCAUCUCUCAACGUUGUCCCACAAACUUUGUCUCACAGAAAUCAGGUUAUCACGCUUGUCUAACACUUGCAACUUAUUGUAAUGUCAGACCACAAGAGGUCGCCAGAUCGAGCCUGGCACAAGUCA
rnacentral:tRNA from 1 species